AGAAUCAACGCUGGCGGCGUGCCUAACACAUGCAAGUCGCACGAGAAAGUGGAGCAAUCCAUGAGUAAAGUGGCGCACGGGUGAGUAACACGUGACUAACCUACCCUUGAGUGGGGAAUAACUUCGGGAAACCGAGGCUAAUACCGCAUAACACCUACGGGUCAAAGGAGCAAUUCGCUUAAGGAGGGGGUCGCGGCAGAUUAGUUAGUUGGCAGGGUAAUGGCCUACCAAGACGGUGAUCUGUA
rnacentral:rRNA from 1 species